ensembl:lncRNA
CGUGGGGGCUGCAGCAGCCGGGACUAAACCUACGCCUCCUUUCUCUUCGGCAUCUCCUUUCGCCUGGGGUGACGGCUUUCCCCGCCGGCCUCGGAAGGAUGACCUGUAGUCUCUCCCCCAGGCUCCACGACUUCUCGCACUGCUUGCCACCCGAACUUCUCCAGGGCAGUGCACUGGGCCUACCUGUACCUAAGCUCCCUGAAUCCAUCCAUACAACUAGCCCAGAAGCACAUUUUCCUGAAGCCUGUGUCCCCUGCCUGUGAGCUGCUCUCUGAACACCCAAAUAACAGCAAAAGCUGUGACCGAACCAGAUUCCUUUGCCUGAUGUGCAGCAAGCCAAACACUGAGAUGCUGAGGUUUGCAGCAGAGAAAGAGUUUACUCAUGAGACAGUCAAGCGGGAAAAUGGGAAAACAAGUCUCAAAACCCCUUGCCGAAGCUGCUGCUGCUAAGUCGCUUCAGUCGUGUCCGACUCUGUGCUACCCCAUAGAUGGCAGCUCACCAGGCUCCCC